CAACAGGCGAUUUUCACAUUGAGAAUGUUUUCAGUUGUAUAGCUGUAAUUCCUGAUGCACGGAAAGAAGAAUUAGACCAGUUGACUACAUGACAGCCCAAAAGCUUAUGAGAAAAGCUCAAAACACCUCAUGCACUGGGAAAAGGCAAACCAGCCUUUUGGAGUCAGAUAGUGACAUCACAGAUAUUGAAGACAGUAAUGUCAAUGCCAUGCCACCAGCAAAAAUACCAACCCUGCCCUCUCCACCAAAAACAAUGGAGACAAGAAGGAACUUAUCUAAAACACCUGAGCCACCAAGGACAUGUGGGGUCUUGAAAGAUUGCCAAGAGCUGGAUUUAGUGAGAUGCCAGGGGGCUACAGAGCAGCUAUACAGAUAGCACCCAUUCUAUGAUGCCACGACAUUUAGAUUUCCGCAACACACCAAACUGGGAUGUCCAGAGAGAAGGACAUAGGGUUAUGGCACAUCAAUUCGAAGAAAUGCCUCAGAGGAUGAUUUAAGGAAAACAUAACCAAGUUCAAGACUCAGGAAAGAAGCAACUAAAUAACAUAAACAACAAAACGAAAGUAACCGGCAGCCACCUCAG